GACGAACGCUGGCGGCGUGCCUAAUACAUGCAAAUCGAGCGGAUCUUCAUUAGCUUGCUUUUGAGGAUCAGCGGCGGACGGGUGAGUAACACGUGGGCAACCUGCCUGUAAGACUGGGAUAACUUCGGGAAACCGGAGCUAAUACCGGAUAAUCCUUUUCCUCUCAUGAGGAAAAGCUGAAAGACGGUUUCGGCUGUCACUUACAGAUGGGCCCGCGGCGCAUUAGCUAGUUGGUGAGGUAACGGCUCACCAAGGCGACGAUGCGUAGCCGACCUGAGAGGGUGAUCGGCCACACGGGGACUGAGACACGGCCCAGACUCCGACGGGAGGCAGCAGUAGGGAAUCUUCCGCAAUGGACGAAAGUCUGACGGAGCAACGCCGCGUGAGCGAUGAAGGCCUUCGGGUCGUAAAGCUCUGUUGUCAGGGAAGAACAAGUACCGGAGUAACUGCCGGUACCUUGACGGUACCUGACCAGAAAGCCACGGCUAACUACGUGCCAGCCGCCGCAGUAAUAC
rnacentral:rRNA from 1 species